rnacentral:rRNA from 1 species
GGUGCGAGCGUGUCCGGAAUUACUGGGCGUAAAGAGCUCGUAGGCGGUUUGUCACGUCGUCUGUGAAAUCCCUCGGCUUAACCGGGGGCGUGCAGGCGAUACGGGCAGACUUGAGUACUACAGGGGAGACUGGAAUUCCUGGUGUAGCGGUGAAAUGCGCAGAUAUCAGGAGGAACACCGGUGGCGAAGGCGGGUCUCUGGGUAGUAACUGACGCUGAGGAGCGAAAGCAUGGGUAGCGAACAGGAUUAGAUACCCUGGUAGUCCAUGCCGUAAACGGUGGGCGCUAGGUGUGGGGUCCUUCCACGGACUCCGUGCCGUAGCUAACGCAUUAAGCGCCCCGCCUGGGGAGUACGGCCGCAAGGCUAAAACUCAAAGGAAUUGACGGGGGCCCGCACAAGCGGCGGAGCAUGUGGAUUAAUUCGAUGCAACGCGAAGAACCUUACCUAGGCUUGACAUAUACAGGACGACGGCAGAGAUGUCGUUUCCCUUGUGGCUUGUAUACAGGUGGUGCAUGGUUGUCGUCAGCUCGUGUCGU